UACAGAGGUCUCGAGCGUUAGGCGGAAUCACUGGGCUUAAAGCGUGUGUAGGCGGAUCGUUAAGUGCCUUGUGAAAUCCCACGGCUCAACCGUGGAACUGCUUGGCAUACUGGCGGUCUUGAGCAACCUAGGGGCGAGCGGAACAAAUGGUGGAGCGGUGAAAUGCGUAGAUAUCAUUUGGAACGCCAAUGGUGAAAACAGCUCGCUGGGGGUUUGCUGACGCUGAGACACGAAAGCGUGGGGAGCGAAUGGG
rnacentral:rRNA from 1 species